rnacentral:rRNA from 1 species
UACGAAGGGGGCUAGCGUUGUUCGGAAUUACUGGGCGUAAAGGGCGCGUAGGCGGCUUUUCAAGUCGGGCGUGAAAUCUCCGGGCUUAACCCGGAAGGGUCGUUCGAUACUGUUGAGCUAGAGUGUGGAAGAGGCAACUAGAAUUCCGUGUGUAGCGGUGAAAUGCGUAGAUAUACGGAGGAAUACCUGAGGCGAAGGCGGGUUGCUGGGCCAACACUGACGCUGAAGUGCGAAAGCCAGGGGAGCAAACGGG